rnacentral:rRNA from 1 species
UACGAGGGGUGCAAGCGUUGCUCGGAAUUAUUGGGCGUAAAGGGUAGGUAGGUGGUCUCAUUUGUCUGGGGUGAAAGCCUUGAGCUUAACUCAAGAAGUGCCUCAGAAACGGUGAGACUGGAGUCCUGGAGAGGGUCGUGGAAUUCCCGGUGUAGCGGUGAAAUGCGUAGAGAUCGGGAGGAACACCAGAGGCGAAGGCGGCGACCUGGACAGGUACUGACACUCAACUGCGAAAGCGUGGGGAGCAAACAGG